rnacentral:misc_RNA from 1 species
UAAAGAGAACCCAGUGUGGUCCAGUGGGUAAGUUCCUGACUUCCACCCAGACAACCAGGGUUCAAAUCCCGCGAUCAGCACCAGGUGAUGGAUGAUGGAGCAGCAGAGGUAAGUUGGAGGUCGGCCUGCCUGGUAAGAAAAAUGCGAGUGUGCUGUGUAAGAGUGGAGUCAUGAAUGGUGAUUGCAGAGUGGUUGGUAAGUGACAUGGGUCUGGUGAGAGCAAGGGGCGGGAUCAGUGACAGGUGUUAAGUGAGUUGGAGUGGUGGGUGGAGUCAGGGUGUAGGGGUAGGGAAGAGGAGCUUGGGACAGAGAGGAGGUGUGUCAGAGCAGAGAGUGGGGCUGGAUGUGGGCACAAGUGAGUUGGAGUUAGGGUGGGUGGAGUCAGGGGAUAGGUGUAGGGGAUGUGCAAGUGUGGGUGGGAUACCAGGCCAGGGACAAAGAAGGGGGUCAUAGAGGGAGGAGGAGCCUGGGACAGAGAAGAGGUUACAGAGCAGAGUGGGGCCAGAUGUGGGCACUCAUGCAGUGGUUCCCUAGCCCACAGUAGGGAUGAUUACAGAACCCCAA